GAGUUUGAUCGUGGCUCAGAAUGAACGCUGGCGGCAGGCCUAAAACAUGCAAGUCGAACGCCCUAGCAAUAGGGAGUGGCGCACGGGUGCGUAACAUGUGGGAAUAUGCCUUUUGGUACGGAACAACGUUUGGAAACGAACGCUAAUGCCGUAUGGUCCCUUCGGGGUAAAGAUUUAUCGCCAAAAGAUUAGCCCGCACUGGAUUAGCUAGUUGGUGAGGUAAUGGCUCACCAAGGCGACGAUCCAUAGCUGGUCUGAGAGGACGAUCAGCCACACUGGGACUGAGACACGGCCCAGACUCCUACGGGAGGCAGCAGUUAGGAAUAUUGGACAAUGGGCGCAAGCCUGAUCCAGCCAUGCCGCGUGAGUGAUGAAGGCCUUCGGUUGUAAGCUCUUAGCCGAUGAUUAUAAUGACUGUAGUCGGAAAUAAGACCC
rnacentral:rRNA from 1 species